rnacentral:rRNA from 1 species
GAUGAACGCUGGCGGCGGGCCUAAUACAUGCAAGUCGAGCGAACAGACGAGGGUCGUGAUCCUCUGACGGUAGCGGGGGACGGGUGAGUAACACAUGGAUACACUUCCUAUUAAACUGGGAUAAAGUCGGGAAAACGGAGCUAUUACAGGAUAAUAUAUUAAACAGUGGGGUUCCUUUGUGAUAGAAGGUUUUGCGGUUCGUGAUAGACGUAUGGGCGACGGGGUAGUUAGUUGGUAAGGUAACGGCAUACCAAGGCAACGAUUCGUUGGGGAGCUGAGAGGGGGAUCGGCCACACUGGAAGUGAGACACGGCCCAGACUCCUACGGGAGGCAGCAGUAGGGAAUCUUCCGCAAUGGGCGAAAGCCUGCCGGAGCAACGCCGCGUGGGGGAUGAAGGUCUUCGGAUCGGAAAACUCUGUUAUUAGGGAAGAACAAAUGUGUAAGUAACUAUGCCCGUCUUGACGGUACCUAAUCAGAAAGCAACGGCUAACUACGUG